rnacentral:rRNA from 1 species
UACGUAGGCAGCGAGCGUUGUUCGGAGUUACUGGGCGUAAAGGGUGUGUAGGCGGUUGUUUAAGUUUGGUGUGAAAUCUCCCGGCUCAACUGGGAGGUGCGCCGAAUACUGAAUGACUCGAGUGUGGGAGAGGUGAGUGGGAAUUCCUGGUGUAGCGGUGAAAUGCGUAGAUAUCAGGAGGAACACCGGUGGCGAAGGCGGGUCUCUGGGCCGAUACUGACGCUGAGGAGCGAAAAGCGUGGGGAGCGAACAGG